UACGUAGGGGGCAAGCGUUGUCCGGAAUCAUUGGGCGUAAAGAGCGUGUAGGCGGCCAGAUAAGUCCGCUGUGAAAACUCGAGGCUCAACUUCGAGCUGUCGGCGGAAACUAUCUGGCUAGAGUCCGGAAGAGGAGAGUGGAAUUCCUGGUGUAGCGGUGAAAUGCGCAGAUAUCAGGAAGAACACCCGUGGCGAAGGCGGCUCUCUGGGACGGUACUGACGCUGAGACGCGAAAGCGUGGGUAGCAAACGGG
rnacentral:rRNA from 1 species